GACGAACGCUGGCGGCGUGCUUAACACAUGCAAGUCGAACGGUGAAGCGCCUUCCUUUUUGGUGGGUGUGGAUGAGUGGCGAACGGGUGAGUAACACGUGAGUAACCUGCCCCCUUCUUCUGGAUAACCGCAUGAAAGUGUGGCUAAUACGGGAUAUUCUGGGUCUGUCGCAUGAUGGGUCUGGGAAAGAUAUUGUUUCGGUGGGGGAUGGGUCCGCGGCCUAUCAGCUUGUUGGUGGGGUGAUGGCCUACCAAGGCGGUGACGGGUAGCCGGCCUGAGAGGGUGGACGGUCACACUGGGACUGAGACACGGCCCAGACUCCGACGGGAGGCAGCAGUGGGGAAUAUUGCACAAUGGGCGAAAGCCUGAUGCAGCGACGCCGCGGGAGGGAUGGAGGCCUUCGGGUUGUGAACCUCUUUCGCCAGUGAAGCAGGCCUGCCUCGUUUGUGGGUGGGUUGACGGUAGCUGGAGAAGAAGCGCCGGCUAACUACGUG
rnacentral:rRNA from 1 species